rnacentral:rRNA from 1 species
GAUGAACGCUGGCGGCGUGCCUAACACAUGCAAGUCGAACGAUUAAGACACCUUCGGGUGUGUAUAGAGUGGCGAACGGGUGAGUAACACGUGACCAACCUGCCCCCCGCUCCGGGACAACCUUGGGAAACCGAGGCUAAUACCGGAUGCUCCUUCCUCCCUACCUGGGGAGGUCGGGAAAGCUCCGGCGGCGGGGGAUGGGGUCGCGGCCCAUUAGGUAGACGGCGGGGUAAUGGCCCACCGUGCCUGCGAUGGGUAGCCGGGUUGAGAGACCGAACGGCCACAUUGGGACUGAGAUACGGCCCAGACUCCUACGGGAGGCAGCAGUGGGGAAUUUUGCGCAAUGGGGGAAACCCUGACGCAGCAACGCCGCGUGCGGGAUGACGGCCUUCGGGUUGUAAACCGCUUUCAGCAGGGAAGAAGAUCGACGGUACCUGCAGAAGAAGCUCCGGCUAACUACGUG